UUCACUCUAAGGNCGGACUGCCGGUAAUAAACCGGAGGAAGGUGGGGAUGACGUCAAAUCAUCAUGCCCCUUAUGACCUGGGCUACACACGUGCUACAAUGGUUGGUACAACGAGUUGCGAGUCGGUGACGGCAAGCUAAUCUCUUAAAGCCAAUCUCAGUUCGGAUUGUAGGCUGCAACUCGCCUACAUGAAGUCGGAAUCGCUAGUAAUCGCGGAUCAGCACGCCGCGGUGAAUACGUUCCCGGGCCUUGUACACACCGCCCGUCACACCACGAGAGUUUGUAACACCCGAAGUCGGUGAGGUAACCUUUUGGAGCCAGCCGCCUAAGGUGGGAUAGAUGAUUGGGGUGAAGUCGUAACAGGGUAACCGUAA
rnacentral:rRNA from 1 species